rnacentral:rRNA from 1 species
UGAUCCUGGCUCAGGACGAACGCUGGCGGCGUGCUUAACACAUGCAAGUCGAGCGGAGAUUGCAUUUAUGUAAUCUUAGCGGCGGACGGGUGAGUAACGCGUAGGCAACCUGCCUUGCACAGAGGGAUAACACCGGGAAACUGGUGCUAAUACCACAUGAUAUCAUAACAAGGCAUCUUGAAAUGAUCAAAGGAUAAAUCCGGUGCAAGAUGGGCCUGCGUCCGAUUAGUUAGUUGGUGAGGUAACGGCUCACCAAGGCGACGAUCGGUAGCCGAACUGAGAGGUUGAUCGGCCACAUUGGGACUGAGACACGGCCCAGACUCCUACGGGAGGCAGCAGUGGGGAAUAUUGCGCAAUGGGGGGAACCCUGACGCAGCAACGCCGCGUGAAGGAAGAAGGCCUUCGGGUUGUAAACUUUUUUGAUUGGGGAAGAAAAAAAUGACGGUACCCAAGGAACAAGCCACGGCUAACUACGUGCCAGCAGCCGCGGUAAUACGUAGGUGGCGAGCGUUGUCCGGAAUUACUGGGUGUAAAGGGCGUGUAGGCGGGAUUGUAAGUCAGAUGUGAAAUUCCAGGGCUUAACUCUGGAGGUGCAUCUGAAACUAUAAUUCUUGAGUGCUGGAGAGGAAAGCGGAAUUCCUAGUGUAGCGGUGAAAUGCGUAGAUAUUAGGAAGAACACCAGUGGCGAAGGCGGCUUUCUGGACAGUAACUGACGCUGAGGCGCGAAAGCGUGGGGAGCAAACAGGAUUAGAUACCCUGGUAGUCCACGCUGUAAACGAUGGAUACUAGGUGUAGGAGGUAUCGACCCCUUCUGUGCCGGAGUUAACACAAUAAGUAUCCCACCUGGGGAGUACGGCCGCAAGGCUGAAACUCAAAGGAAUUGACGGGGGCCCGCACAAGCAGUGGAGUAUGUGGUUUAAUUCGAAGCAACGCGAAGAACCUUACCAGGGCUUGACAUCCCUCGGAUAACAUAGAGAUAUGUUAGUCCUUCGGGACGAGGAGACAGGUGGUGCAUGGUUGUCGUCAGCUCGUGUCGUGAGGUGUUGGGUCAAGUCCCGCAACGAGCGCAACCCCUAUUGUUAGUUGCCAUCAUUAAGUUGGGCACUCUAACGAGACUGCCGGUGACAAAUCGGAGGAAGGUGGGGACGACGUCAAAUCAUCAUGCCCCUUAUGUCCUGGGCUACACACGUACUACAAUGGUCACUACAAAGGGAAGCAAUACCGCAAGGAGGAGCAAAUC